UACGGGGGGGGGCAAGCGUUGUUCGGAAUUACUGGGCGUAAAGGGCUCGUAGGCGCCAACUAAGUCAGACGUGAAAUCCCCAGGCUCAACCUGGGAACUGCGUCUGAUACUGGAUGGCUUGAAUCCGGGAGAGGGAUGCAGAAUUCCAGGUGUAGCGGUGAAAUGCGCAGAUAUCAGGAGGAACACCAGUGGCGAAGGCGGUGCUCUGGGCCGGAACUGACGCUGAGGAGCGAAAGCGUGGGGAGCAAACGGG
rnacentral:rRNA from 1 species